ACUGAAUUUAACUUUCCAGUGCCUGACCUAAAUCCAAAAUCUGCAUUUCAUUUGGUUGCUAAAUGCUGUACUGGUUGUACAGCUCCUCUUUCCCAUUCUUUCCCCAAGAAAUCCAUUAGAACAUUGACAAAUGCUGAGCCAUUUGCUUGUUUCUUCUUUCAUUCAUUCAAAUGUAUUUAUUGAGUAUCUCUUCUGUCUGAGCUCUAGGAUUACAAAGAUGAGUAAGUAAUACAGGGUUCCUGACUUUGAGACAUGAAACAUCUAGUGAGGAAAACAGACAAGGAAACCAGCAAUGACAGAAUGAUUUGAUGGUGCUAGUUAACAGAAGUAUGUACAAAGGUGAAGGAGUCAGCUGCCUUGGGAUGAGAAGGGGAAAGUGGGACAUUUUGGUUUUGUCUUAGAUCACCUCUGGGGAGUUUACGGGGAACCUAGAGAGAAAAAUACGUGCUCAGAAAUCAUAGUUAUUUAGCCUCUCAGAGUCCUGUUUCUUUGGAGGUAAACAACAAAUGUUUAAUGUAGAAAUUGAUAAACAUUGAGUGGCAGGUUUUUUUUCCCCAGUGGAACGAGGUUCCUGGAGCAAAAGAAAGAAUUGUUCUUAUCUAGAGAAACAUCACAAAAUCAAGUAGGCUAAAGACAGUUUCAUAUUCAGUUUCCAUAUUCAUGAAUUUGGAUUCUUGUUUUCUGUGUUAAGUUUGUUUAUGAAGUUCUAAUUUAAAAUUACUUCAAGACACAAAUAUUCCUCUGGUUGUGCAUAUAUUAUUGAACUGGGACAGCAUGACUAGCAUAAUCUUGGUUUGACCAUAUCUUUAUUUGAUUUUUUUCUCCUUCUUCCAGAAUUAUACACUGAUUGUGAGCAGCCAGACCAAAACCUCUGAUGUGGCCAAGAACAAGGACUGGAAUAAAAUAUUGCUGGGAAUUUUUCAGUCAACUCAAUUCAGUGGAUAUUUAUUGAGCUCAUAUAACUCAUCAUGUUCAAGAAUGAAGAGAUCAAGAAUCCUCAACCACCAUCCUUCUGGAGAGCAAAUCUGUACAUUCUCAUAUUCAGGUAGUUUCCAAAUUGUUACAAAAGAGACACUUCACUAAUAACACUCGAGACACUACCUAGGCAAUGUGACUCUGAAAUUAUUAUUU
rnacentral:lncRNA from 1 species